CGAAUCAUCACGCCGCCCGGAAGGCGAUU
rnacentral:sRNA from 1 species